GAUGAACGCUAGCGGCAGGCCUAACACAUGCAAGUCGAGGGGCAUCGCGGUGCAGCAAUGCGCUGGCGGCGACCGGCGUACGGGUGCGUAACGCGUAUGCAACCUGCCCCGCACCGGGGGAUAGCCCGCCGAAAGGCGGAUUAAUACCCCAUGGUCCCGGGGGCCCGCAUGGGCAUCCGGGUAAAGCCUUGGCGGUGCGGGAUGGGCAUGCGUGCCAUUAGCUGGCUGGUGGGGUAACGGCCCACCAGGGCAACGAUGGCUAGGGGGUCUGAGAGGAUGGUCCCCCACACUGGUACUGAGACACGGACCAGACUCCUACGGGAGGCAGCAGUGAGGAAUAUUGGUCAAUGGGCGGAAGCCUGAACCAGCCAUGCCGCGUGCGGGAUGAAGGCCCUACGGGUUGUAAACCGCUUUUCCCCGGGAAGAAUAACCCCGAUGAGUCGGGGGAUGCCGGUACCGGGGAAUAAGGAUCGGCUAACUCCGUG
rnacentral:rRNA from 1 species